AAUAAGCACCGGGGGAGCUGGGCAGGCCGGCUGAGAGGGUAUCCCGUCACACGAUACCGACCCUAAUACCUGAUCUGGAUAAUGCCAGCGUAGGAACGGUAAAGCCGAGCCUUG
rnacentral:ncRNA from 1 species